UACGGAGGGUGCAAGCGUUGUCCGGAUUUAUUGGGUGUAAAGGGUGCGUAGGCGGUUUAUUAAGUCAGUGGUGAAAGACGGUCGCUCAACGAUUGCAGUGCCAUUGAUACUGAUAGACUUGAGUGGGAUUGAGGUAGCUGGAAUGCAUAGUGUAGCGGUGAAAUGCAUAGAUAUUAUCCAGAACACCAAUUGCGUAGGCAAGUUACUAAGUCGCAACUGACGCUGAGGCACGAAAGUGUGGGUAUCAAACAGG
rnacentral:rRNA from 1 species